GGGGCCGACAUGGUUUCGACUUCGUUGAUUGGGCCAGGGGAAGCGUGCCGGUGCAGGCUGGAGACCACCGUAAGCGUCGCAGCAACCUGAUAAGCGCCGAGAACACUCAGCGCGACUACGCCCUCGCUGCCUAAGCAGCGACGCGUGUCUGUCGGCCCGGGUACGUCCCCGACCCGGUCACCGGCAUCGUUCAGGGGACUCGCCGCGCGGCUGCGCCGUCUGGGCCGCGCGGGACAUCUGCAGGCGGCUGGGCUCAUCGUCCGGGCUGGUCCGCGUGACCCGGAGAGCCGAGCAGGGAUGGAGCGGACUGCGCACGGAGAAGCCCUGGCGAGGUUGCGAAGGACCCGGGUUCAAUUCCCGGCGGCUCCACUG
rnacentral:tmRNA from 1 species